UCCAUCAGACAUCCAUCAGCCAUCCAUCAGACACAAUACGCUUCUUUCACCACUAUAUUUGUGCUGUUUAAUGACUGAUUGAAUCUGUACCCAGCAUCCUGAUAAAGUGGCAACAUGUGCAAACUCACUCUAACUGCAGGGCUCUGUUUGAUCAUCGCCAGCUUGGGUUAUCCUGGCCUCACGGAUACAGCUGCAGUGCCGCCAAACACCUGUAAUGAUAGGAUCAGUGGGCUAUACCCCAACCCUGCUGACCCACACUCUUUUUACAGUUGUGGUAAUGGAAUAGCCUACCUCCAAAACUGCCCAUCAAAUCUGGUCUUUAACCCAAAAUGCAGCU